GACCUCUACUAGAUUAUAGUGAUAAGGAAAUCAGCAUACGGUUUUGGCCUGUGUAAUCAUUUGCCUAUAACUAAUCAGAAUCCCAUUAUGUUUACAUAAAAAAGAGAAUACUUCAAAAUGAGAAGAUCCUGCCAUGGAAAAGACGACUGGGUGGAAAUAAAGUGGACAUGAGGGGAAAUAACUCCCACCAUGCAGCAGGACACCUUCAGCUGUGGGGUCUUUGUAAUGCAGAUGGUCAAGGAAGUUGCACAGAACUUCCCCAACAUCGUGUCCCAAAUCGAUAUGGAACCUUCAAAAACACAUGGAGCAACUGCAAAAAGAAAUGGCUGAGGAUAUACUAAAAAUAUCUGAGUUCAACAAAGCCAACAACUGCUUCAUGUGUGCCACUGAUAAAGAACCUGGAUGUGGCCCAAAGACUGACUGGAUUGAAUGUUUUGCAUGCCAACGGUGGUUCCAUGUGCUGUGCCUAGGAAUGAAGACAAAUGAGUUCAACAGAGUGAAGAACACAAACUGGAAGUGUAGUCUUUGUUGUUGAAAAUGUAUGCUAUACCCCAUCCACACUGAAGAGGCUCUGAAAUGUAUAUCAGCCAGGGAUAAAGAGGAAGUUAACACUGUGAAAUGUUUUGUACUUAUUUUAAGUUAAGUGUCUGUUGACAU